ensembl:snoRNA LOC120100370 small nucleolar RNA SNORA44
AAGCAUGUUUCCAAGGGCUGUGGCUGCUCAUAGCCAUGGGAUCUCCAACUGCAUGCCAGAGUAACGGAGAGACUUUGACAGCCCAGGUUAUCACAGUGCCUGCUGUUGCCACUCAGCUCUCCUAUAUGU